rnacentral:lncRNA from 1 species
GGAGUUGCUCACUGCCCAACGUAGAGGACUAGGAAUCAGGAGUCGGUGGCCGUAUGCUGGAGGCUGGAGCCGCGGGAGCGCGGCUCGCCUCGCUGCGGUUGUUGGCAGUGACGGAGAGAGAGCAGCGCGGCUGGAGCAGGACAUUGUAUUAGUUUCCUGCAAUAAAAUAUUUUUACAAUGUCAGUUUGUCGAAACUGCUGGACUGUAAACUAUUUCUAAUCGAAACCUGAAAUUGUGUCACAACAUGGCUGUAUUACGAUUCCAUGUCAGAGGAAGGAUAUAUACGUGCAUCUGGUAGUGGCUUCCAGUUGUUGCUGUCAGAUGUUUGUUUGGGAAUGCAUUCAGAAGAGCUUAUCAAGGACUUGAGUACAAAACAAGCAUUUCCACAAAAAAGCAGUGACACAAAUCACUAUGUAAUAUAGUUAGCCUUUGAACAACACGGAUUUGAACUGCAGGGGUCUACUUAUGAGCAGAUUUUCUCCCACCUCUACCACCUGAGACAGCGAAGACCAAUCUUCCUCUUCCUCCUUCUCCUUAGCCUGCUCAACUUGAAGACUAUGAUGAAGAGUUAUAUAAUGAUCUACUUGCAUUUAAUGAACAAAAUUGAAGUUGAAGUAUAAGGAGAAUUUUUACAUCACCCAGGUUCUAAUUUGGAAGGUUUCUAACAGCCCUCUGUCCUCUUCUGGUGCUCACUGUGAAAGAAUUUGCACCCUGCAACACUAAGUGUUUGUGCUAGAAUCCACUUCUGAUGUUGGCUGCUCUGACACAGCUUCCAUUCGGCAGGGUCUCACUCUUGUCGCCCAGACUGCAUUGCAGUGGGGUGAUCUCGGCUCAUUGCAACCUCUGUCUCCCGGAUUCAAGCAAUUCUCCUGCCUCAGCCCCCC